UACGAAGGGGGCGAGCGUUGUUCGGAGUUACUGGGCGUAAAGGGCGUGUAGGCGGUCGAGUAAGUGGGAUGUGAAAUGCCUCGGCUUACCCGGGGACCGGCAUCCCAAACUGCUUGGCUUGAGUAUGGGAGAGGAUGAGGGAAUUCCUGGUGUAGCGGUGAAAUGCGUAGAUAUCAGGAGGAACACCGGUGGCGAAAGCGCUCAUCUGGCCCAAUACUGACGCUGAGGAGCGAAAGCCAGGGGAGCAAACGGG
rnacentral:rRNA from 1 species